rnacentral:snRNA from 1 species
AUACAUGGUCUGAAUUAAUAAAGACUAAUCUGUUCUUAUCAGCUUAAUCUCUGAUACACAGUCUAUUGACUGUUUUGAGAUUUUAAAAAAAUGUGGAAUCUAGUAAGGUGCAGGGGUUUGCUCCUCUCUGACCAUGGGUCGGCCCGGUACUGCACUUACCACCGGGAACGGCCCACUCCCC